GGGACAUGAAGGACAGAAUCUAGUGUUAUAGUCUCAGAAAUACGAAUACUUUCUUUUCUUGUAACAGAUGAUAGUGAGCCAUCUACAAUUUUGACGCUAAUGUUCCCAGGACAAGUAGAGUAUGAAGAAAAGAGGUGAUAUGCAUCCGUCAUGUGAUCGGAUGCAUCGGAGUCUAUAAUCCACACAUUUUUACAUCGUGAAGUGUUUAGAGCUCUAAGGAGGUUACCUUUGUGGGCUAAUAAACUAGAAUGACCUUUAGGAGACGGUUGACCCGAUGUUUGGAAGCUGGCGAACAAUUGAUAAAUUUGUUCAAGUUGUUCGGAAUUGAAUCCACCACUCAAAAUUGGGUUACUCUUAGUUUCUGCUUAAUACCCACGGUUCCUACUAUUUUGCAUCGAUUUCCAAUCGUUGGGCUUCCCAUUAAUUUCUCAACAUGUGUCCAUUUUAUGACCUGGCCUACGACAAUGCUCACACCAAACCUUUCUCGUUGUUUUUGUACUGGCUCAUUUAUUCCUCCCUUUGAAAACCCAAAGCUCCAGAGGCCCAAUUAGUGUUUUCAGUCUCUGGCCCAAGUGUUGGUCCGUUAACUUUACCUCGUCCAAGAAGCCCAUGUUCUGUAGUGUUCACCUGUCCAUUCUUCUUCCCUGCCAAGGCCGAAAUUUCUACUCCAGUGACUUACUUCAACAUCACAUGCUGGCGAGCUUCUUCCCGGCGCACCUUCACAAAUACCUCGCGGAUCGAUGGUAGUAGGCUUCUCCUAAUAUUCGGCGUCUGACCUCGUCCAACUCCCGAUUCAGCCCUGCGAGAAAUUCGAAUACUCUCUCAUGUUCCUGCUACUUGUACAAGGCGACGUCUUCCUUGCACUUUCACUCCUCUUCGCUGCUCAGGUCGAGGUCCUGCCAUAGGGAGGUCAUCUCCAUGAAAUAUUGGAUAACAUCCCGUGUCCCCUGUUUCGUCUGCCAUAGACGGGUCUUAAGUUCGAAGACUUGUGCUGUGUUCCCAACGUCUGAAAAAGUCUCUUUCACGGCAUCCCAGACAUCUUUUGCCGUUGGGAGGAAGAGAUAGGCUUUCCCUAUCGACGGCUUCAUGGAGUUUACAAGCCAAGCGGUUGCCAUUGAAUUUUUAGAAUUCCACCGUUGCAGUUGAGCAGGAUCAGCUGGCUUCUUUGUCUCGCCGGUGAGAUAUCUAAGUUUCCCUUUUCCAUCAAUUAUUAAUUUAAUUGACUGUAAGUUGGAAUGAUGAAGUUUCAGAUGUAUUGGAACCAAUGGAGGAGUGGACCUCUGCUUCGGGGUCGGAGAUGACAGAUCUGGUACUGUGAGAGGGGAAUUCCGCCAUUGACUGCUAGGUUAGAGCAACCUAGGCUCUGACACCAGAAACAAUUAGAGAUUUGAGAAAAUAAAUUCUCUUUCUCAAUACAUUAAUAGCCUUCUCACGUCAGUUUAUAUACACACAAGAGGAAGAAAAUAUGGAAAAACUAAUUUCCUAAUCUAGGAAACAAAUUAGCCUACCAAAUAACAAAAAUAUGUAAUCCCUAAUUAAUUACAAUUACUAUAAUUGGGUUUCUUUCCUUUUUCUUCCCUUGAUCGUUUUCUACACUUUUCCUUCACUCUAUCCCCAAAAAAAGUCUUUCUUGGAGUUUCAAGCUUUAUAUAUAAUCAAAUUACAAAGACCAGUAAUGAAGUAAUUAUUAGAUCAUGAAACUGAUUCUGUUAUCUAUUAGUUUUGUUUAUUCACUAUGAAUAGUUAGAAUUGGUUAGUGUUGAGCUUUCAUAGUUGGUAGUUAAGUGUUGAGCUGUUAUGUAACUAAUUCUGUACACAAGUCAGUCUAUUUUUAUUGCCUUGAUUGAAUUUAGAAACACGAGAUACAUGAAUACAGAGAAUGGAAUUUCUUUCUUCUAGUUCUUCUCUUCAAACUUUGAUAUGGUAUCAGAACAAAUAGCUUGAUUUGCUAUUGUUAUUUUCUUGCCUUCAACUAGUUUAACAUUGAAUGCUACUGUCAUUUUUUCUUCGUUUCCAUGGAAAUCGAAUCUACGUCAUCUUCGAGUUCUGCCAUAGAUGAACCUUUGAAUCCCUAUUAUCUUCAUCACUCUGACAGUCUUGGAUUAGUCCUAGUUUUGCAGCAUCUCAUCAGAGAAAAUUAAG
rnacentral:lncRNA from 1 species